GUGCUAAUUUUGGCAGCACAUAUACUAAAAUUGGAAUGAUACAGAGAAGAUUAGCAUGGUCCUUGCACAAGGAUGACAUGCAAAUUUGUAAAUCAUUCCAUAUUUUG